rnacentral:rRNA from 1 species
GACGGGGGAUGCGAGCGUUAUCCGGAAUGAUUGGGCGUAAAGCGCGCGCGAGGCGGCCGCGAGAGCCCGGCGUGAAAGCCCCCGGCUCAACCGGGGGAGGCCGUCGGGGACCUCGGGGCUGGAGGCCGGCAGGGGUGAGCGGAAUUCCCGGUGUAGUGGUGGAAUGCGUAGAGAUCGGGAGGAACACCGGGUGGCGAAGGCGGCUCACUGGGC